GAUGAACGCUGGCGGCGUGCCUAAUACAUGCAAGUCGAGCGAACAGACGAGGAGCUUGCUCCUUUGACGUUAGCGGCGGACGGGUGAGUAACACGUGGGUAACCUACCUAUAAGACUGGGAUAACUUCGGGAAACCGGAGCUAAUACCGGAUAAUAUUUCGAACCGCAUGGUUCGAUAGUGAAAGAUGGCUUUGCUAUCACUUAUAGAUGGACCUGCGCCGUAUUAGCUAGUUGGUAAGGUAACGGCUUACCAAGGCAACGAUACGUAGCCGACCUGAGAGGGUGAUCGACCACACUGGAACUGAGACACGGUCCAGACUCCUACGGGAGGCAGCAGUAGGGAAUCUUCCGCAAUGGACGAAAGCCUGACGGAGCAACGCCGCGUGGGUGAUGAAGGUCUUCGGAUCGUAAAACUCUGUUAUUAGGGAAGAACAAACGUGUAAGUAACUGUGCACGUCUUGACGGUACCUAAUCAGAAAGCCACGGCUAACUACGUG
rnacentral:rRNA from 1 species